GAGCCGAGGAGUGCUCCUGCUCAGUUGAGGCAGAGGAAAGAAAAUCUUAGGGAGCACCGAGUCGUAGGAAAGGGAGAUAACCAUUUACAGGCUCCAAAUGAACAAUGCGAAGUUAUUUCCCUUUUCUUGGACACAAGGAGAGCCACAGUCCCCUGUUGCACACACACAUCCAGACACACACACACACCAAACUUUGGUGCUAACGUGACACCCCUUCUUGUCCCCCAUCCUUCCCCCAUGACGCACAACCUCUGGAGGUAAGGGCCUGAGCCGGUUGUGUGAAUGUGUGUGUGCUCGCACCGUCUCUCUCCCCCAGCAAAAGCGGACACGCCGUCUCCCCAGCUUCCGCUUUCCUCUGCAUGCCUGCUGCUGCUGGAGUAUUCACGCUUCAGGCUGUUUUCUUUGAGAGAGAGAGAGAGGGAGAGAGAGGGAGACAGAGUAUAAAAAUAUGCAAAUGCUAUUGUUGAAGCGCAGAACGAAGGAGGGGAGGGCGCUCCUUUUACACCCCCUCACCUCCCCUGUCGCUGCUGCUGCUGCCACCGUUACCGCUUCCACCUCCAUCCAUCCAUCCUUCCAACCAUCCAACUAACCAACCAGUGUUAGGAGAGGGAGUGAGAGCACCAAGAAAGAGAGAGAGAGUGGGGGGGGGAUCUCAGGUUUGACUUGACAACAGGGGCAGGAUAUUAAAAAAUAUGCUGAAAGGCCACCAUUGUCUGUUUCAGCUGAGGCCGUUUUCCAGAACUACACACAUGUACACAAACAUACAUAUAUUUCUAUACACACACAGAAAAACACACAGGCAGAGAGGGAGAUGGAGACGUGCAGCUAUUGAGAUAAUGAAAUCCAUCACACAAACCACAAAGACCUACAAAUGUUCCUAAGAGAGGGAGAGAGAGCAAGUCGGAGGACUUCAUCAUGCUCUGUACAUUAUAUAAGCAUGAGACUAAACACAAUCUGAUAAUGCUUUAUAUUACAGCCCACUACAUACAGUACAAUUAAUCCCAACUCACAGUUGUCGCACUAGUGUAGUACUAAAGCUGAACAAUACCUACUUGUAGGUAUAACGGAAGAAGAUAUUUUUAGGGAGUAAUGAGGGAACAACAGAAGCUGCACAGCAACAAGAUGAUGAUGGGCAAAACACAAAGUUCCUUUCAUCAAAUCGGGUAUUUAAGAACUAUUAAUGGCACUUUGGUGUGAGGAAAGGCCUGAGAAGAUAACCAGCAAACUUUAUUGUGAACAGUUGCUUCUGACAAUUUAUAGUGGUCAUGCUAACGUGACUUUACCCCUAAAACAUGGACAAAAUCCUCCCAACCGACAAUCCAUCGAUGUCAUGCACUCGCUUGGUUGUUUCAACACAUGAUGCAAAUUUUAAAAUGGUUUAACCCUCUAAACCCCAGGCAGUUUCUGAGCAUUUGUUUUGUUGUUGGUCCUGCCGCAUUUGCACUCAGUGUGGUCUAAUUUUUCACUGCAACAUCAAAACCUGCACCUCAAUAGAAACAGCACAACCCUGGCAACAAGGAGCGAGAAAUCCAUAAUCUCUUCUGUGAUAUUAUAAUAAACUAAUCACGUCAUAAAUAAGAAAAAACUUAUUAAUUUAUUUUAAAAAUGAGAAAAACCUGGAAUCAGCAUGUAACACAUAUUUCCAAAGUGUUUUCAUACUUGUCUCAGUUCUGUUGAAACACUGCCUGCAGUUCAGUCCAGUCCAGUUGAUAUGUCAUUACGUUUUUUUUCAUGUGACCAGUCACUAAUGACUUCUCAGUUUUGCUAAGGCGUGCAAAUUUUUUGGUAUUUUACAGAAUUAGGUUACGACAAUUUAUUUAUUUUUGAUGUCUUUUUUAAAAAAGAUUUUGAGAAAAAACUACGACUUCAGGCUUAUGUUUCAUUACAUAGACGAGCAGUUCAAGGACAAUCAUCCAGUUGAAAAUCUCGCAAUUCUUUAUGCUCUUGCACUUUAUUGCUCUGAUAAGCAGUCUCAUUUUGGUGCAGUUUCACAGAUAGCAUGCCUUUUGGGGUUCAGAAGGUUAAGUACAAGUAAUCUGCCUUGUAAUUGUGUUUGACCGGGCCUUUAAGAUGCGCCACAGUGGAAAACAAGCUUACAGUUUUUAUAGUAGUAUAAAUGGGUGACUGUUCCACCCUUGUUCCCUAAACCUCAGCUCCUGCUUUCUUAUAAUUAUGUAUUGGUAUGUGCUGUGCUAGUAUGCUAAACAUACAAUGUAAAUUUGUAUUAAUUGUGCUGUAGCAGGCUGAAGAAACAGAGAAAGGGAUAAAAAUUGUGGACUUAUAGUGAAGCUGUGCAUACAGGUGUUUUCACCUCUGGGAAAACAGAUCUUGGCUCAAGUUAAAGGUGGGACUACAUUGCUGUGCUUCGUUAUGUCAUGUUGUACACUUCAGUAAAUCUUGUUGCCAGUUUGCAUGCUGAAGAAGGGCGUCUGUCCAGAACAUGCCUGCAUGAAUUCAUCAAUUAAUAGUUGUGCUGUUCCGUUCCGCUGAUUAUUUGCUGUAUUAAAUGCAAAAACAGCCUAAUGACAAUCUGCAUAUAUCACAUGGUGUAUAUAAUUAGUUUCUAGUGUGAAUUUGGGAUACAACAGUUAGCAGACACCUGCAAAAAGACCUUCUAACUAUCGAAUAACUCACAUCAAACUGCCCUGUAUGGCAUAUAAUAGUUAUAAUUUAUGAACAAAGCUUUUGAUACGACUAUUUGUACUUUUAGCCAGGAUGUACAUCUUCAGUACCAUAACAGCACACAAAAAAACAUCAGGGUAGACAAGACGUAUUGAUUUCCCUUACUUUUUUCCACACACUCUUUGCAAAAGAAAGAAAUAGAGAAGGAGACAAUCACGCAUAUACAAAGAACGAAAACACACACAACCCUACACAGACCAACACACACCCUCAGAAAGCGAGAGAGAGAAUAUGUGUGUGAAAGUGGGAAGCCCAUUUGUAAAGCCCUCACGCUCUCAGGAAGACUUUUUGAAGUGAUUAUGAAGACAGUUCAGAUCAAAGGAUUUGACAAGUCUGAGUGCGCGCCAAAUAUGAGGCCGGGUAAUCACACUGAAGCCCCUCCAUACAAGAUGGCUGUGGUCCCCCCAGCUGCUUUGCAAAUGUAAUGUGACACUUACGGAUAAACAGAUUAUCAAGAAAUGGAGAGGUGGGGUUGGGUGAAGGGACCAGGAAUAAAUAAAAAAAAGAAAUAAAAAAAGAAAGCGAGAAAGAGUCCACAAUUUGUAGAAACAGAUGAGGAGAAAUAGUUUAUUUAAUGAACUCUGGGGAUGGGCAGCGUCAGAGAAAUGAUGAUUAAUUCUCCGGUGCUGAUACAGGUCUAAACGAUAUAAUUUGGGAAUAUUAGUGGGAGCAUUAGAUGAUGAGGCAGUAUUUCUCGUGGCAGUGUGGUAGACUUGGGGCUUGGGAGACUUUUUUUUUCUCCCUUUCUCUUUUCCUUCACUAGUUAUUAUAGAUUAAUCCAUAAUCCUCACCACCUAAAGACAUUUUUGUCAGUGAAGCUCAGGGAUAGAGCCGGUAGAAUUUUUUUUUUUUUGAAUAUAUCUCUGCUCCUGCUCAUUUCCCCUCAGCAUGAUGUCACAUUGUCACAUCUCCUACUGAAAAUACUCCAUUGCCAGCUCUUCUCAGAUAUACCGUUUCAUUUUGGCAGAGCUGAGGUGGGACUGAUCAGUUUAUGUAACCGGAAAUUUUCUACAUCAUGUACACGGUUUCAUUUACUUAACAUUAUGUGAAAUCUGAGCUUCAUUGUUCAUAAUAAGGCAGAAAUGCUCAUAAUGAGUUGAUCACCUUUUUCUGUCUUUUUAUGAAUGAAAUGUUGCAUAUAGCAUGAAUAGAUCAAGGUCAAGUUGUGCAGCUGCGUCACAAUGUCAGAUAGCAUGCUUUUACUGUACUUGAAGGGUUGUCAUGUGCCUGGAAUACAUAUAACAGUUUAAAAUCCAAGCUCCAUUGAAAAAACAAUCCAUGUUAUUGAUGUUUUGUUCCAUAAGUCUCUAAUGCUCUACAGCAACAAACGGAAUAAAGUGAGAGCUGCCUUGAAUGCAGGAAAUGCUGUAAAAUAAUUUGAUGUGUAAGAUGUACGGUGAAAACCAUGUAUCUCCAAAUUUGGGAAAAAUGACCUAUUCAGCUAUUUAAAACAAUGUUUUGUGAUAAAGCAAAAAAGAGGCCACUUUAAGCUAAUGUUUUGCUAAAUUGAGGUUUCCACCACACAGCAAUAAUGCAUUUCCUGUACAUUGUAUUCAGCCAAAAAUAAAAUAAAAAUCUGUGUAUAGAAUGUUUCCUUGCUUUAAACUGUGCAAUAAAAGCAGAUCAACAGAAGCUGUGCUGUCUGUCUGUUUUGUCCUCUAAGUGUCUACAUGUUUCUGCAUUUGCCAGUCUUUAGAUUAAAAACAAAGUCCUCUACUUUCAUUGUAGGAGGCGGUUAAAACGAUUCUUGUCCUCAAGUGCCUCACUCAGUCACCGAGUGUCCAUUUGUCCAGUGAGAAGAGGGUGUGCUCCUUUCUUUCUUUAUCUCUAUAUAUGUAUGUGUGUGCGUUCUGAAUGACCCUUGUGGCGGGACAAACAUCUCUUUGAGGGCACACGGACAGAUGGACGGACAGGGGGACUCAGCGACAGACACAGAGGACUGAGGCUCCAGUG
ensembl:lncRNA